rnacentral:lncRNA from 1 species
UUCGAAUGACUAUAAAAUAAUAUAAUUCGUAAAUAUGUGUAUUCUUCAGUUACAUUUUAAACUUCAUCCAAGGUAAUUGAGUAGUGAGCUAUGGUUUUGUAUAUACUACAAACAAAAUACACAAUUUUGACUUUGUUCUUCAUCCAAGCCCCUUCCAUUUCAAUAUCAAGAUGAUCCAUACGUUUUUCCACAAGAAAUUACUCAGCUGUGAGUCAUUUUCAGAGAAGAGAUUCACUAGUUUGAAGAUGAACAGGCAAGAUCAAAUCUCCAUCUUCAAUGGCUUUCAAAUCCCCUUCU